rnacentral:rRNA from 1 species
AGUUCGAUCCUGGCUCUGAUUGGUGCUGGCAGGAUACUUUACACAUGCAAGUCGAACGGCAGCACGGACUUCAGUCUGGUGGCGAGUGGCGAACGGGUGAGUAAUGUAUCCGGAACGUGCCUGGUGUGAGGGGAUAACUACGCAGCGUAACCGCCCGUAGGGGAAAGCGGGGGAGCCUUCGGGCCUCGCACUAUUAGAGCGGCCGAUAUCGGAUUAGACUGGUUGGUGCAGGGUAACGGCUCACCAAGGCGACGAUCCGUAGCUGGUUUGAGAGGACGACCAGCCACUGGGACUGAGACUGACCCAGACUCCUACAGGAGGCAGCAGUGGGGAAUUUUGGACAAUGGGGAAACCUGAUCCAGCCAUCCCGCGUGUGCGAUGAAGGCCUUCGGGUUGUAAAGCAUUUUUGGCAGGAAAGAAACGGCACGGGAUAAUACCCCGUGCAACUGACAGUACCUGCAGAAUAAGCACCGGCUAACUACGUGCCAGCAGCCGCGGUAAUACGUAGGGUGCGGCGUUAAAUCGGAAUUACUGGGCGUAAAGCGUGCGCAGGCGAUUCGGAAAGAAAGAUGUGAAAUCCCAGAGCUUAACUGGAACAGGCUUUGCUACCAAUGCAGAGUGUGUCCAGAGGGAGGUGGAAUUCCGCGUGUAGCAGUGAAGAUGGCAGAUAUGCGGAGGGAACACCGUGGCGAAGGCAGCCUCCUGGGAUAACACUGACGCUCAUGCACGAAAGCGUGGAGCAAACAGGAUUAGAUGCCUGGUAAUUCGCCUAAACGAUGUCAACUAGCUGUUGGGGCCUUCGGGCCUUGGUAGCGCAGCUAACGCGUGAAGUUGACCGCCUGAAGAUGAACAACAAAGAUUAAAACUCAAAGGAAUUGACGGGGACCCGCACAAGCGGUGGAUGAUGUGGAUUAAUUCAGUGCAACGCGAAAAACCUUACCUACCCUUGACAUGUCUGGAAUCCCGAAGAGAUUUAGGGUACUCGCAAGAGAACGGAACACAAGGCCCUGCAUGGCUGUCGUCAGCUCGUCGACGUGAGAUGUUGGGUUAAGUCCGCAACAAGGCGCAAUAACUAUCUCGUAGUUGCUACGAGGGGCACUCUAAUGAGACUGCCGGUGACAAACCGGAGGGAAGGUGGGGAUGACGUCAAGUCCUCGCUAAGGCCCUUAUGGGUAGGGCUACACGUCAUACAAUGGUCGGGACAGAGGUGCGCUAGCCGCGAGAGGCCAAUCCGAGAAACCCGAUCGUAGUCCGGAUCACGGUCUGCCGCUCGACUGCGUGGAAGUCAGAAUCGCUAGUAAUCGCGGAUCAACAUGUCGCGGCGAUGAAUACGUUCCAGGUCUUGUACACACCGCCCGUCACACCAUGGGAGUGGGUUUUACCGAAGUGGUUAGCCUAACCGUAAGGAGGCGAUUACCACGGUAGGAUUCAUGACUGGGGUGAAGUCGUAACAAGGUAACUCUGUUUUUCUGCAGACGCUCCCAG